UAUGUCCUACGGGAGGCAGCAGUGAGGAAUAUUGGUCAAUGGCCGGAAGGCUGAACCAGCCACGUCGCGUGAGGGACGACUGCCCUAUGGGUUGUAAACCUCUUUUAUAAGGGAAGAAUAAAUGCUACGUGUAGCAUGAUGCCUGUACCUUAUGAAUAAGCAUCGGCUAACUCCGUGCCAGCAGCCGCGGUAAUACGGAGGAUGCGAGCGUUAUCCGGAUUUAUUGGGUUUAAAGGGUGCGUAGGCGGUUUUUUAAGUUAGGUGUUAAACGUCGGGGCUUCACCUUGUUUUGCCAUUAAUACUGU
rnacentral:rRNA from 1 species